rnacentral:rRNA from 1 species
UACGUAGGGUGCAAGCGUUGUCCGGAAUUAUUGGGCGUAAAGAGCUCGUAGGCGGUUUGUUGCGUCGGCUGUGAAAUCCCCGAGGCUCAACCUCGGGUCUGCAGUCGAUACGAGCAAACUAGAGUGUUGCAGGGGAGACUGGAAUUCCUGGUGUAGCGGUGAAAUGCGCAGAUAUCGGGAGGAACACCAAUGCGAAGGCAGCUCGCUGGGACGUCACUGACGCUGAGACGCGAAGGCCAGGGGAGCCAAAGCGGG